rnacentral:rRNA from 1 species
AACGUAGGGGGCAAGCGUUGCCCGGAUUCACUGGGCGUAAAGCGGGUGUAGGCGGUUCUUUAAGUCAGAUGUGAAAUCCUGCGGCUCAACCGCGGAACUGCAUCUGAUACUGGGGAACUUGAGGACGGUAGAGGUCGGUGGAAUCCCCGGUGUACCGGUGAAAUGGGCAGAUAUCGGGGGGAACACCGAUGGCGAAGGCAGCACUCUGGGCCGGUACUGACGCUGAGGAGCGAAAGCGUGGGGAGCGAACAGG